UGAGCCGGCAAUGCCCAUGGCCACACCGAUGUCAGCUUUCUUCAGGGCUGGGGAGUCAUUCACACCAUCCCCGGUCACAGCCACAAUGGCACCCUAAGGGCAGCAGGCCAGAGGGCGUACCCGGAUGCCUGCGGUGCGGCAUUUGAGCACAGCAUCAGGGACGGUGGCCCGGGGAGGGUCAAUCAUGGAUACGAGUCCCGCGAAGCAGAGGCCACUACUCGGGAAGUUCAUGGCCUCCACGUCGAAGGUAUAGCCAGUUUCCCACUGAAAUCCUUGCAGUCCGAGAUCUGGUCCAGACUGCGCCUCUCGUGAGUUGCCUGGUCAUUCCUCCAUCACCCCGGUCUCUACAUCCCAACAGCCUGCUUCGCACCCCACCCACCCUGACAGUCUACUCCUCCGGAGGGAGCUGAUACAGAUUGCUAGUGGAGGCAGGAGGAUCCGAAGUUCAAGGCUAAACUGAGCUACUUUGUAGCUCCAACUCAAAAGUAAAAUUGAGUUACGUCU